rnacentral:lncRNA from 1 species
UCAUGUCAUCAAAACUACUAAUAAUACUUAUUUUUCCUCCAAGGCCGUCCAUGCACACCACUCAAAUAAUAAAAAAUAUUGCUAAUGAAAAGAAUAAAAACAAUUUAUCAUCUUUGAGGAAAUUUAAAAAACAAAAACUGAAUAUAAUCAAAUGACAGCAACCUCAGUCCAAUGUAUAUAGCCUGUAGAAUGGUUGUCAAGCUUGUGCACAAUAAUAACAAAACAUAAGACUCAGGGAGGCUUUAUUGAUUGAUUAUUAAAUAGAAUACAUGGCACUACAGCCCUUACAGGUAGCAACAUGUAUUCACAACCUGCUAAGAUGUUUCAUCAGAAUAAUAUUUACACAUGAACUAGGAACGGAAAAAGAACAUAAUCACCAACUACCUAACAUAGUACAAUGUCCCUACCCUCAUAUCCCCUACGUUAGAUUGUCAAACGACUUGUGUAUUCGCUAGAAUAGCACUAAUUGUUCGUACAGAAUCUAACGUCAAAGGGGAUUUCAAAGUAAAAUAUGCUAAUAAAAUAUGUUAAAUAAAGAAACCAUAAUAACAACAGAAAUUAUAACUAGCCUUAAAUCCAACUCUGGGGCAUGGUGUUGUAACC